AAAGCGAUGGAUCUUUGAGAGAUGUGGUGAGGGGUGUGAUGAUGCUUCAUACCUUUCGAUGCUUCGGUGGGGAGGCAAACACCUUUCAACACAUCGGCAUAAGUACAGUUGUCACCAUCAUGUUAUUUUAUAAAGCACCAUCCAUGCUCCCAAAACUCUACUUGAGAAGUAGGGCACCACCACCAAAGUUUAGGUAUACAAGGCAAUGC
rnacentral:lncRNA from 1 species